AACGAACGCUGGCGGCAUGCCUAACACAUGCAAGUCGAACGAGAUCCUUCGGGGUCUAGUGGCGCACGGGUGCGUAACGCGUGGGAAUCUGCCCUUAGGUUCGGAAUAACAGUUAGAAAUGACUGCUAAUACCGGAUGAUGACGUUAAGUCCAAAGAUUUAUCGCCUGAGGAUGAGCCCGCGUAGGAUUAGCUAGUUGGUGUGGUAAAGGCGCACCAAGGCGACGAUCCUUAGCUGGUCUGAGAGGAUGAUCAGCCACACUGGGACUGAGACACGGCCCAGACUCCGACGGGAGGCAGCAGUGGGGAAUAUUGGACAAUGGGCGCAAGCCUGAUCCAGCAAUGCCGCGUGAGUGAUGAAGGCCUUAGGGUUGUAAAGCUCUUUUACCCGGGAUGAUAAUGACAGUACCGGGAGAAUAAGCCCCGGCUAACUCCGU
rnacentral:rRNA from 1 species